rnacentral:tRNA from 1 species
GGUUCCGUGGUGUAGGGGUUAACAUGCCUGCCUGUCACGCAGGAGAUCGCGGGUUCGAGUCCCGUCCAGACCG